rnacentral:rRNA from 1 species
CCUACGGGUGGCAGCAGUGGGGAAUAUUGCACAAUGGGGGAAACCCUGAUGCAGCGACGCCGCGUGAGUGAAGAAGUAUUUCGGUAUGUAAAGCUCUAUCAGCAGGGAAGAAAAACGACGGUACCUGACUACGCAGCCCCGGCUCACUACGUGCCAGCAGCCGCGGUACUACGUAGGGGGCAAGCGUUAUCCGGAUUUACUGGGUGUAAAGGGAGCGUAGACGGUAUGGCAAGUCUGAAGUGAAAGCCCAGGGCUUAACCCUGGGACUGCUUUGGAAACUGUUAGACUAGAGUGCUGGAGAGGUAAGUGGAAUUCCUGGUGUAGCGGUGAAAUGCGUAGAUAUUAGGAGGAACACCAGUGGCGAAGGCGGCUUACUGGACAGUAACUGACGUUGAGGCUCGAAAGCGUGGGGAGCGAACAGGAUUAGAUACCCCUGUAGUC